UACGGGGGGGGCAAGCGUUGUUCGGAAUUACUGGGCGUAAAGGGCUCGUAGGUGGCCAACUAAGUCAUACGUGAAAUCCCUCGGCUUAACCGGGGAACUGCGUCUGAUACUGGAUGGCUUGAGUUUGGGAGAGGGACGCGGAAUUCCAGGUGUAGCGGUGAAAUGCGUAGAUAUCUGGAGGAACACCGGUGGCGAAGGCGGCGUCCUGGACCAACACUGACGCUGAGGAGCGAAAGCCAGGGGAGCAAACGGG
rnacentral:rRNA from 1 species